UACGUAGGGACCAAGCGUUGUUCGGAUUUACUGGGCGUAAAGGGCGCGUAGGCGGCUGGGUAAGUCACUUGUGAAAUCUCUGAGCUUAACUCAGAACGGCCAAGUGAUACUGCUGUGCUAGAGUGCAGAAGGGGCAAUCGGAAUUCUUGGUGUAGCGGUGAAAUGCGUAGAUAUCAAGAGGAACACCUGAGGUGAAGACGGGUUGCUGGGCUGACACUGACGCUGAUGCGCGAAAGCCAGGGGAGCGAACGGG
rnacentral:rRNA from 1 species